AAAAAAAAAGGGAAUCCUAGUUACUAGAUAGUGGUGUUCAAAAAUAAUCACCUUCUAAUUUCUUCAAUCUGGUCAUGGUCAUGAAUUUGCUUGUGAGAUUUGUCUUCUUUGCAAUCAACGGAGGAGGAGAUGAGAUACUGCUGCUGCCUCUGUUGCAUCAUUGUCCACUACCAUCACUGCUGAAAAUGGAAGAGCGACAUUUUGGGGCACCAAUAGAUGAGACGAGAGUUGUUGGUGUGGCUGUUGGACUGGUAGUGGGAAUUGUGGUGCCUGAUGAUUUCUACUUCCACUUCCUCGCAGGGUCGUUGAACAUGGGCCAUUGCUGUCAAGAAGAGAUUGAUGGGUUUAAGGUAGUGACAGAGUCACUUGGUGCUUGGCUGUGACUUGUGAGGGAGUGAGGGAAGUGGGUUUGAAUGAGUGAGGAGCAAAGGAGGGAGAUGAGUUUGAGGUAGUGAGGGUGAUGGCAUUUUGGAAGAAGCAGAUUAGGGAUUUGUUUUUAAGAAGGGAUGAAAUUACUUAAAUAACCUGAAUUCCUCCAAACACAAUGUUUUGAAAGAUUCAAUUUUUUUCCCCCCAAUAUUUUUCUUUAAAAACUGAACCGAUUAAACCAAUUUUUCAAAAUUUUAUGACCAAACUGAAUUGUCUAAAAAACCAAGCUGAAUUUUGAAAUUGGUUCGGUCAUUUAUUUCAGUUUAAACCAAAAUCUAAUCACUCCUACUGGCACAUGAUUGGGGGUUAGAAAAGGCAUCAGUGCAUGGCUGCAUGUGGAAGAUGCUUCGGAGACGGGAUUUCAUCUUAAGACUGAUCAGUGGUAGGGGCAGUGAGGUUAUAUGACCCUCAACAGCCUACUAACUGGAAUGGCAGGCAGGUAUGCUUUUCUCGGAAAAGAAGAAUAACUGAUGCCAUGAAGAAAAAGGGGAGAGAAAGGAAUGAAAAAGGAGUUCUAGAGAAAUAUUGCUUGAUUAUUGUCUCAAGCCUCUGGGUACAUAUAUUGUUGAUGCAGAUUCAAUAGAAAAACAAAGAGAAUUGAAGAAGAGAGAACAUUUCAGGAAGAAGAAUAGAAAAAUAGAGAAGAAUCCAAGAGAGGAGAGUUUUCAUUCAAUCAAUACACACUAAUUACAAUAGAGUCAACUCCUUAUAUGGAGAUUAUAGUAACUGACUGCCAGCUAGCUCACUAACUAUUUGAACAUUUACAAUAAAUUUGCAACUAAUUUAACAUCUUAAC
rnacentral:misc_RNA from 1 species